UCAAACUUGGUCAUUUAGAGGAAGUAAAAGUCGUAACAAGGUUUCCGUAGGUGAACCUGCGGAAGGAUCAUUAUUGAAUAAACUUGAUGGAUUGUUGCUGGCUUCCGGGCAUGUGCACGUUUGUCAUUUUUAUCUUUCCACCAUGUGCACUAUGCGUAGACCUGAACAAUUCAUUGAUCAAAUAUUACUUUUGAUUUAUGGGAAUUGCUGUUAUUAAUGGGCAGCUUUUUCUGUGUUCAGGCUCUAUGAAUUUUAUACACACCAAUGCAUGUUAAUGAACGUCAUAAAAGGCCUUUCUAAGCCUAUAAAUUUAUAAUACAACUUUCAGCAACGGAUCUCUUGGCUCUCGCAUCGAUGAAGAACGCAGC
rnacentral:misc_RNA from 1 species